AAGCAACAUUGUGGCAGAUGAUCAAAACACUCUGACACAAUUUGCGCUUGCUAUAGCAAGAAAGUCUAACCUACUCCGGUGUUCUCUCCUCGGUAGGGCAAGCCAUUAUAUAGACUUAAACAGU